CUGUCUAUGUGGCUCAAGAAGCAGAGUUUGAAGUUGUCUUCACCAUGGCUUGGUCUCCACUUUUCUUAAUCCUGCUUGUUCACUGCACAGGUGA
rnacentral:pre_miRNA from 1 species